rnacentral:rRNA from 1 species
AUUGAACGCUGGCGGCAGGCCUAACACAUGCAAGUCGAUCGAGCGGCGGACGGGUGAGUAAUGUAUGGGAAUCUGCCUGAUGGAGGGGGAUAACUACUGGAAACGGUAGCUAAUACCGCAUACCAUCGGAUGUACCCAGAUGGGAUUAGCUAGUAGGUGGGGUAAAGGCUCACUAAGGCUACGAUCUCUAGCUGGUCUGAGAGGAUGACAAGCCACACUGGGACUGAGAAACGGCCCCGCCUCCUACGGGAGGCAGAAGUGGGGAAUAUUGCACAAUGGGCGCAAGCCUGAUGCAGCCAGGCCGCGUGUAGGAAGAAGGCCUUAGGGUUGUAAAGUACUGUCAGCGGGGAGGCGUUACCCGCAGAAGAAGCACCGGCUAACUCCGUGCCAGCAGCCGCGGUAAUAC